rnacentral:rRNA from 1 species
UACAGAGGGGGCGAGCGUUGUUCGGAAUUACUGGGCGUAAAGGGCGCGUAGGCGGCCAACUAAGUCAGACGUGAAAUCCCUCGGCUCAACCGGGGAACUGCGUCUGAUACUGGAUGGCUUGAAGUCGGGAGAGGGAUGCGGAAUUCCAGGUGUAGCGGUGAAAUGCGUAGAUAUCUGGAGGAACACCGGUGGCGAAGGCGGCAUCCUGGACCAAGAUUGACGCUGAUGCGCGAUAGCCAGGGGAGCAAACGGG